UCAUACCAAGAAAAGGAAUAGACUAACCCUCAAGCGCCUCAAUGGCCUAGUGUUCAUAAAAUACAAUCUCAAGCGCCUCAAUGACCUAGUGUUCAUAAAAUACAAUAGAACAUUGAGGCGUCGUUACAAUGCUCGCAAUGUGAUUGAUCCGAUUCGUUUGGACAAUAUUGACGAUGCCAAUGAAUGGCUAACUGGAGUUGAGAAUGCUGAAGAUGAAGAAAUUUUUUAGGGAGAUUCUGACUUCACUUGGGGUGUUGUUGGGGAGGCAAGUGGGGUUGAGGAGAACCGUUAUGAUUUAAGAGGAAAUACUUCAAGCUCACAUAGGAGGGGAAAAGAAGUAGCUACAAGUCUAUUCCUAGUGGAUGAAGUUGAAAGAGAUAGUGAUGGACUUGAAGAAGAUGAUGGGCAGUAUAAUGAUAAUGGAGGAAUACAAGAUUUUGAUAAUCUUGUAGUAGAAGAAUUGUAGAAUUAAAAAAAUUAGAUGUUGAACCAUGCAUAUAACUUUGAUUUUGCUUGUGUUAUGUUAUAUGGAGGAUUUGUGAUGUCUAAUUUUUGGUUUUUAAUUUGAAAUCUUGGUUAUAUAUAUUGUCUUUAUUUAUUUUGGUCUCUUUUCUUUUAAUUUACGCUUCACUUCAAUGAAGCGAGCGCUUCGCUUCACGCUUCGCUUAAAGCGUGAAGCGGGGCCUUAUCGCUUUUUUCCGCUUUACGCUUCCCUGAACACUGG
rnacentral:lncRNA from 1 species